UGAAGAAAAUUACGUACACUUUUCGUCGCGUUCUUAUGCUAUCUUCGGCUGGUCGUUUCAGAGCACUCUGGAGCGCUCUCGCGAGCGGCGUUGUCUUCGACUGGUUGAAAGAGAGUGCGCGCCCUGCGUUCGGCUGGUUCUUCUCGAUUGCUCUCCUCUAUCUUGGAGCGCUCUGAGGCGCUCCGAGCCCUGUCGUCGGAGCAGUCAUCGAGAUUGAAACGUCAUCGCAGCGCCGCGUCGCUGCUGUUGGCGACGGCCCACCGUAACCUUGGCAACCUAGGCCACUGCAUGCUGGCGUCUCUGCGAACGUUCGUCCCGCCGGCACGUCCGCCGGUUUUUCGGGCAGCGCCGGGAGCUUUGGACAGGCGAAACAUCGGACGUUGGCAGUAGUCACGUGGUUUCGCAUCAGCAAUUUCCACCUCGGAGAGCGAGUCGUACGUUCGGCUUGCACGCUUGUCCCCUACCUUUGAGCUCGGGAAACGACCGAUCUACCCGACUCUGCUUCGGGGCAUACAGGCGACCAGUCGAAGAUACCAUUAGUACAUAGGCGCCGAUAAUGCGCCUUCGUCAGCCAUAUUAGGGAUGGUGACCGAGCGUUUUCACGCGUCUCCAAUUGCUGUGUCAGCGCAGCGUUGCCGGUGGCUGCCGCCGUAGAUCCGAAGUGAAAGGGUGUGCCUGCUGCUCAAAAAGCGAUAGCGUUUAGUUUGACGUGCCACACGUUGAAGGGCAAACCAUCGAACGCGACUGAGUGCACGCGGCUCGAACUGGCUGCAACGCUGUUGCUAAGGUUUCGGUCUCACAUUGAACGUACUGUAGGUGCCUCUUCUGUUAAAGGGGGGCCGCUUUUCUAGAGGAAUAUGUUUUCGUCCUGCGAGGUAAAAGGCGUCUUGCGGGGACGCUGCAACUUUGAAGACAGCUGUGAGUGCGACGGUUAUUUCCGGUCUACUGAUGGUUCUCACCAGCCGGCAGCGCCGUACCAAGCAUCCUGGUGUGCAUACUGCGGGCAUAGCCCGGUUCACCAUGCUCGUAUGGUCCCAGGCCAGCAGCCCUUGCCAACAUGCUGCACGCAAACAGAAGAAUCGUUGCAAGAGUUCCGGGCCGCAAAUAUUGAUGGGGAGGAGGAUCAUCCGUUAUGCGAUAUUUCAAACGUGCGGACGUCGUCUCCAAUCGCAAGUGAUGCAGCCCGUCUCACGGAUGGGCUUGAAGCAGCUCGCCGAUCUAAAGACCCACAGCCGAGUAACACGCCUUCUGCCAGCGAGCGAGUUGUCGACCAAGCUGAAACUUCGGACGUCGGCGCAGAUAGAAAAACUCUGGCAAGCCUUCACUGGUCAGUAGACAACAAGCUGCCCGAGUUUUCGGCUUUCGUUCAGCCACUGCUCAAUGGAAUGGAAAUUACGGAAGAACAACACCGCAAACAGUCGAAACAACUUCGCCAUGAGGAGAUUCAUUUUCUCGAUGAAAACAAUGCAAUUCAGGACAAAAAUACUGCCCUACGUCGAUGGAAGUACUUUGCGUUAGGAGAGACACUCGCAAAUAUGUAUCCCAACAUGCUUUGGGAAAAAUCGCGGAAGGACGUAAGAGGACGUACAAAAGGACCAAAGGCUGUAUUUCUGUCGCGGCUUGCGGAGGCAAGACGGCACAGGGCACAACGACGAGAAGCAAGUGAAGCUUCCAAGAAGGCUCCACUCCAGGCCGCAGCUCUGUCCUUAGAGCCCCAGUUAAUCGACUCCGAAUCUGCGUCGAUAGAACUGGAAGCAGUUGGGGAGGCUUCAGGUCCAACAGGACCUUUUAACUAAGAAAGAAUGGUGGUGCUGUUGCACAGCACUAUCAAGAUGCGCAAGGCCAACCCACCCGCUCGGCUGCCAGGCUUUUUUUUGAACGAAGAAAUUCUUGGCGUCGAAGCAGAGAUAAGGUUUAACCAGAAGAUAGUCGAAAUCGUGAACCGACUGAACAAAGUUAAAGAGCUCGUUACAAAACUGUACAGUCGUGAUAUGGACUUCGCCAGCAUUGAUGAGGAGCUGAGAACACUCGCUGAUUGCUUCAGGUCGCACUUCAGACGAGAACGGGCCCGGACCAAGGAUUCUGUGGACCGAGUCUUCAAAGAGCAUCUAUUGUACAGAGGGCGAAGUUGUCA